GGGUGCGAUCAUACCAGCACUAAUGCACCGGAUCCCAUCAGAACUCCUCCGCAGUUAAGCGUGCUUGGGCGAGAGUAGUACUAGGAUGGGUGACCUCCCGGGAAGUCCUCGUGUUGCACCCC